AUGUCCUUUGUUGUAUGCCUUACAGGCUUCGUAACCUCUAUUAGAUCAAAUUACACGUGGUAUGGAAGAGGAGAAAGAGUGUGGAAUGCUGCCGUAAUUAGCCUUGGGUAACCAGAGAGGAAGGAACAGAAAAAAAAAUCAACAAAAAUAAAUAGGGAGCUCUUACUCCAUGUGAGACACUGCGUUAGACAUGGUGGGCCAUAGAAACAAGUUUAGGAUCGAGUUCCUGUCGUUAGGAAUCUCUCAGUCUAUGUGGAGCUGAUGGAAAUACAGCAUCAUCACUUGAAGCCUGAAUUUUGAACAAGUACAUUAACAAAAGGCCAAAGACUUAUCACUAAGAACCCUGAAUUAAGAAUGGCAUCCUUCCACUACUCUCAGCUGGAAAGAAACAAAAUUUAUGAGGGACACAUGAGAAUGUACCCAGAUCUGGAA